GAUGAACGCUGGCGGCGUGCCUAAUACAUGCCAGUCGAGCGAACAGAUGAGGAGCUUGCUCCUCUGACGUUAGCGGCGGACGGGUGAGUAACACGUGGAUAACCUACCUAUAAGACUGGGAUAACUUCGGGAAACCGGCGCUUAUACCGGAUAAUAUAUUGAACCGCAUGGUUCAAUAGUGAAAGACGGUUUUGCUGUCACUUCUAGAUGGAUACGGGCCGCAUUAGCUAGUUGGUAAGGUAACGGCUUACCAAGGCAACGAUGCGUAGCCGACCGGAGAGGGUGAUCGGCGACACGGGAGCGGAGACACGGUCCAGACUCCUACGGGAGGCAGCAGUAGGGAAUCUGCCGCAAUGGGCGAAAGCCUGACGGAGCAACGCCGCGUGAGUGAUGAAGGUCUUCGGAUCGUAAAACUCUGUUAUGAGGGAAGAACAAAUGUGUAAGUAACUAUGCACGUCUUGACGGUACCGAAUCAGAAAGCCACGGCUAACUACGUG
rnacentral:rRNA from 1 species